rnacentral:rRNA from 1 species
UACAGAGACUGCAAGCGUUAUUCGGAUUCACUGGGCGUAAAGGGUGCGCAGGCGGCCGUGUGUGUGAGGCGUGAAAGCCCGGGGCUUAACCCCGGAAUUGCACCUCAAACUACAUGGCUAGAGCAUUGGAGAGGGUAGCGGAAUUCACAGUGUAGCAGUGAAAUGCGUAGAUAUCGUGAGGAACACCAGAGGCGAAGGCGGCUACCUGGACAAUUGCUGACGCUCAGGCACGAAAGCGUGGGGAGCAAAAGGG